rnacentral:rRNA from 1 species
UACGGAGGGUGCAAGCGUUAUCCGGAAUCACUGGGCGUAAAGGGUGCGUAGGUGGUUUCUUAAGUCAGAGGUGAAAGGCUACGGCUCAACCGUAGUAAGCCUUUGAAACUGAGAAACUUGAGUGCAGGAGAGGAGAGUAGAAUUCCUAGUGUAGCGGUGAAAUGCGUAGAUAUUAGGAGGAAUACCAGUUGCGAAGGCGGCUCUCUGGACUGUAACUGACGCUGAGGCACGAAAGCGUGGGGAGCAAACAGGAUUAGAUACCCUGGUA